rnacentral:misc_RNA from 1 species
AAGUCGUAACAAGGUUUCCGUAGGUGAACCUGCGGAAGGAUCAUUACAGAGUUAGGGUCCCCUGGGCCCGAUCUCCAACCCUUUGUUUAACUACCAUGUUGCUUUGGCGGGCCCGUCUCGCGACCGUCGGGGGGAUUAACCCCCUGGCCAGCGCCCGCCAGGAGCCCCUUCAAAUUCUUGACAAAUCAUGGUGUCUGAGUGAGAUAAACCUAAUAGUUAAAAACUUUCAACAACGGAUCUCUUGGUUCUG